rnacentral:lncRNA from 1 species
UAAAGAUUCACUUAUUUCAUAAUUCAAUAAAAACGAUAAUUUUAAAAUAAUAUUUGGAAUUUAAUCUAAAAAAUAAUGAUAACCGUUUUGGAACAGAAUUUAAGAGAGAUGAUUUUGAAAUAAAAUUCAAAAUUGACGACUUUAUUCUAAGAGUAGUUGCUAUGGAUCAAAAUAGAACGACUCGUGAUAUUCGAUAAGAAAAAAAAGGAACAAAUUUUAAAAUUUUUAUCAGACGACUCGCUGCAAUCCGACGAGAAGCUUUAUGGAUGACCAUAGUCAGACCAGAAAGAGAGAUCGCUCUUCCGAUCAAUCUCCGGAUAGAGAUGAUAAGAUCAAGAUUACAAACGUUGCCGAUGAUUCCAAUGUCUGUUUCGAUGUUAAACCCGAUUGCCGUCCAAACAAGAAAGCUCCAGAGAGAAGACGCAAACCGACGAAUAAAAAGCAGAAGAAAGCAAAGAAAGGACAAAGAUGCAUCAGAGUUUGCGUGAAAGUAAUGGGAAAGAAAGCAACAAAGAAGAAGGCAGUUCGUAAAAUGGAAAGGAAAACCAAGCCAAAGAAGAAGAAGAGAGUCAGAUCAAAGAGUAGGAAAGCUUGUUAGAAGAAAAAUCAAUCGGCAUAUUAUCGUUAAUCUGUCUGUAGGUUAACAUCCCAAAGGUUCUUUUCAGAGCCAUUUAAUCUUGAUUAAGAGUAGCCAAAUCUUUUCAACUACAGAAAAUAAGUACUAAAAGUAAGAAAGAUAAAAUAUAAUUUUAACUGGAAAUUAUUUCAGCCGUUCAAU